GUGUCAGCAGCCGCGGUAAUACGGAGGGUGCAAGCGUUAUCCGGAUUCACUGGGUUUAAAGGGUGCGUAGGUGGGCUAGUAAGUCCGUGGUGAAAUCUCUGAGCUUAACUCGGAAACUGCCGUGGAUACUAUUAGUCUUGAAUCUCGUGGAGGUAAGCGGAAUAUGUCAUGUAGCGGUGAAAUGCUUAGAUAUGACAUAGAACACCGAUAGCGAAGGCAGCUUGCUACACGAGUAUUGACACUGAGGCACGAAAGCGUGGGGAUCAAACAGGAUUAGAUACCCUGGUAGUCC
rnacentral:rRNA from 1 species